rnacentral:rRNA from 1 species
GACGAACGCUGGCGGCGUGCUUAACACAUGCAAGUCGAACGGAAAGGCCUAGCUUGCUGGGUACUCGAGUGGCGAACGGGUGAGUAACACGUGGGUGAUCUGCCCCUGACUUUGGGAUAAGCCUGGGAAAUGGGGCUAAUACCGGAUAAUCAAUUUUUCUCGCAUGGGGGUUUGUGGGAAGCUUUUGCGGUUGGGGGUUGGCCCGCGGCCUAUCAGCUUGUUGGUGGGGUAAUGGGCUACCAAGGCGACGACGGGUAGCCGACCUGAGAGGGUGAUCGGCCACACUGGGACUGAGACACGGCCCAGACUCCUACGGGAGGCAGCAGUGGGGAAUAUUGCACAAUGGGCGCAAGCCUGAUGCAGCGACGCCGCGUGAGGGAUGACGGCCUUCGGGUUGUAAACCUCUUUCAGCUCCGACGAAGCGCAAGUGACGGUAGGAGCAGAAGAAGCACCGGCCAACUACGUG